CCCUAGCCCAGAUAGUAGUGGAAAUCCUUUUGUGUUCGCAAAAAAAGCGAACACAAAAGAUUGAAGCGAAUAGCUGGAAAUAGC
rnacentral:sRNA from 26 species